CACCGUUGUCGCCGAUCUCAGCGAAGUCGUUGGAGAAAGAUCUAGUGGAGUAGGAGGCGAUGUUGGAGAAAACAGACGAUUUUCUGAAGGAGAAUGGAUGAUAUCCUGAGGAAGAAGAAGAUGAAGAAGGAGAAAGUCUCGACCGUGUUCGACGGAGAUGCUAGAUUGGCGGAGGAGCCGAAUUACAAAGAAUUCCACGGUCAAUUCGCGGGGAGUGAAAUUGCCGAUUUUCGAAGAGGAUAUCAGCAAUUGAAGAUUCGAUUGAUUACAAAAUCGAGGAUUUGAAGUAAAACCCUGAAAGUGGAAGCUUUUGUUUCUCUGAUUCUGGAAAGUUUCCAGUAUCCAUCCUCUUGAUUAAAUUCGUAUCCUUGCUUGUUUAGGGACGCUAAUUGUAUAUCUAAGAAGAUUCUUGGAUAUAGUUAUGGUGAUGCUUCUUAAAUCCGAAAGAGAAGCAGACGGUCUCUUUGGAAAGUUGUGAUGUAGUGUCUCCCUAAUCAGGUUUCUUUUCUGGAUUGUUGUCUUAGUAGGAACAAGCUGGCCACAAUUCUUGAAGAGGAAGAAGCGAGAUGGAGAAUGAACACCAGUAAGAUACUAUUUUCAUUGGUCAAUGGAGAAACAUUAUAACGGAGAACAGCCGUUGCAGCAUACAUAAUCUUGAACCUCUUUCGUCUAUAUACCUUUAGUUGGAUAAGCUGAAAGGAUACUCAAGCCAAUCAUAAGGAUGUUAUAUGUAGAGACAGUAUCAACAUAAUCAGUAGAUUUAAAUGUUAUGAUGGAACAUCAAUACCCAAGCUGAGGGUUACUACUGUAUAUUUAUUUGGUUGCAACAUGAGCUGAAAUUCAUUUGAC